rnacentral:lncRNA from 1 species
AUGGGGAAUGUGCCAAAGAGACAACAACCCGACCAUAGAAAAAAAACAACAGCAGAAGGUCACCAACAGGUCUUCAAUGUAGCGAGAAAUUCCCGCACCCGGAGGCGUCCUUCAGCUGGCCCCUAAACAAAUAUAUAUUAGUUCUGUGAUAAUGAACGCCAUACUAAUUUCCAAAUUGUACACAAGAAACUAAAAUUAAAAUAAUACAAGACUAACAAAGGCCAGAGGCUCCUGACUUGGGACAGGCGCAAAAAUGCGGCGGGGUUAAACAUGUUUGUGAGAUCUCAACCCUCCCCCUAUACCUCUAGCCAAUGUAGAAAAGUAAACGUAUAACAAUACGCACAUUAAAAUUCAGUUCAAGAGAAGUCCGAG